UACGUAGGGGGCAAGCGUUGUCCGGAAUUACUGGGCGUAAAGGGCGCGUAGGCGGCCUACUAAGUCGGACGUGAAAUCCCUCGGCUCAACCGAGGAACUGCGUCCGAUACUGGCAGGCUGGAAUCCGGGAGAGGGAUGUGGAAUUCCAGGUGUAGCGGUGAAAUGCGUAGAUAUCUGGAGGAACACCGGUGGCGAAGGCGGCAUCCUGGACCGGUAUUGACGCUGAGGCGCGAAAGCUAGGGGAGCAAACGGG
rnacentral:rRNA from 1 species